rnacentral:sRNA from 1 species
UCUUCUCUCUCUCUCUCUCUCUCUCUCUCUC